AUGGAAUGGAGAAGGAAGCUGGGGGGAAAUUGGAGGCUGAGACAAACUAUGAGAGACUGUGGACUCUG